CCAUCCACCACGCGGCUGCUACCCCUGGAUCACGGCGUGCGAGGAUUUUAUGCCGAACUGCUAUACAUCACGCAGCUCAUCCACGGCCUGUGUGCGGACAGGAAGACAUACGAUAUAUAGGGACGGUGGCGCGCCCGUGGCCGCGGGCACCCUCAGCGUGGCUGCAAGUCGCCCAGGCACGGUGAGCUGCUAGCUGCCUUGGGUUUGCUCCUCCAUUGAUGGCUUGUACUCACACGAUUCUUGCAUGUUAUGUAUGAUUUUUUUUUUCAGAUUAACCAAGGGUGAAUGAUAAUGCACGCUCUGUGCUUGCAUAAAUACCCCAGCAAAGCUGAGGACCAGCACGGGCAGAGCAUAGUUCAUUCGUUUCUCUGUGCAGGUUUGCAGCGGGAGCAAGAAAAGAGU
rnacentral:lncRNA from 1 species